rnacentral:rRNA from 1 species
UGAGUAACACGUAUGCAAUCCACCUGUAACAGGGGGAUAACCCGGAGAAAUCCGGACUAAUACCCCAUAAUAUGGGCGCUCCGCAUGGAGAGCCCAUUAAAGAGAGCAAUUUUGGUUACAGACGAGCAUGCGCUCCAUUAGCCAGUUGGCGGGGUAACGGCCCACCAAAGCGACGAUGGAUAGGGGUUCUGAGAGGAAGGUCCCCCACACUGGAACUGAGACACGGUCCAG